AUGAAGCAUCGAUACUACUCUACAUAAUUGUGGUCGCCUCGAACAAAUAUCCUACUCCCCGCACAUACCUCCUUAAAAACCUGAUGUAUCAGCUGCUGCGACCGCAAAAAAAUGUACAUGAUGGCGAACAAAUAACUACUAAUCCACCAUCAAUUCUUGAAGAAAAUAGUGAAGAGAAAGAAGGAUGACGGUGAAAUUCUCCAUAAAGGGUAAUAAUACUCGAUGACUUGCAGACACAUCGAACGCAAAUAAAAAAUCGCCAACUCGCCAACUUGAGUUAGACCCACUAAAAAGGCCAGGUAAGCAAUUUGGCUACCACCCCUGCAGGCAGCCAGGUAAGUCCAAUAAUUCUCCAACUUUAAAUCAGCCUGUGACUCAUGAUGACUGCGCUGCUUCUUCUCUGCUGGCACAAAUAAAUUCUUCCAAUAAUCCACCUCUAUCUUCGGAUAAGGACAACACUAAAUAUACCCCCUGUAGUUUAUAUUUUACUACCUGUUCUCACUUAAGCCCUACCCCAACUAUGUCCGACAAUCACAUGACCCCAUCCAACAUUGAUGGCAUGUAGGAGGUUCCCUCCUUUGCUGCUCCUUCCACGUCACAUGCUAAUUCUUUAGUUAGAAAUGUUAAUCAAGGUAAUGAUUACAUUUCAUGUGAUUCAUUAGACUUGUACAUUCCCUUCUGUUUACCCCUCAUAAUCCAUAAUGAGACACCCCUUUAUCUCCAAACGCCCAUGUUAACCAUACCGCUUUCAUCCUUGCUAUAAAUUAUGAACCAUCGUCUCAACUGUCCCUUCACAAGCCUUCACAUACACCACAACACCCUAACAAAUCCACAAACUUCAGCACUUUUAGUUUGCUCAAAUGGAAUAGAAGAACAACCAAGUCCCUCAUCUUGUUUAUGUAUUUACGAAUCCAUCUCUGCUCCACCCACUCCAGUCUUAGAUGCAAGUGGGGUUAAUGGGGUAAGCAAUAACAUUCACUAUGCAAGUGAACGAAUGGGACUAUCUAGUGAUGAUGCAAAAUCCAUGCGACCUAGCCCAUAUCAUCACUGAAGGGAAGAUACUUGGAACGAAAAUAUUUAACAAUACGACGCAGUAGAACUCGACUCUCCCGUCUCUCCUUUUCUACCCUCAGCUUCACGAGGAUCUAGUCCCUUAGUUUUAGCCAUACGUAACUGUGGUGCAGCUGGAUCUCGAGAUAUACCAUGAUACACAGCCUCCUCAUUCACCAUACCAAGCUAAGGAGGGGAGCGACGAAAAUCGACUGGCAACCACCAUGGAAAAUCUGCUGUGGGGACGGAAGGGAUGAUAUUCGCGACUACCUUCUUGGGUCAGGUACGAGUAUUCCUUCUCAAAGAACUAUUAGAAAAAAGAAAAAAUGUAAAUUAUCCUUAAAAUAUAUUUAAAUUCUCAGUCCAUAUGAGAACGAUGCUCAAUCCAGAGGUGGGGAAAUAUGCCAUAAUCACGAGUCCCUCUCUGAGGGACAAGGAACUUCCUAGUUCUUCUCGCAGUUGUCCCUUAAAAUUUUACCACUCUAUGAAUUUUCUUAUAUUGAAUUGCCGGGGAUCUUCCUCCUCUGAUUUUAGACUUAAUUUUAGGAAGUUACUUGAUAUGCAUAAACCCGUUCUAGUUGUACUAUUGGAAACUCAUAGAGCAAAUCACCAGUCAAUGCGACAUGAGUUGCACUUUUUAAAUGUCUUAGUUGUCCCGACUGAGGGACUAGCGGGUGAAAUUGCCAUUCUCGGGAAUGCUGACCUCGUUAAUGUUACUAAUAUGGCUCUUACGUACUAGGAAAUUCAUUACAUGAGGGCUAUUUAUGCUUUUAAUAGCGCUUCUGAUAGGCUUGUGGUUUGGGAAAAUCUUAAAAGUCUAGCUGGUUCAAUAUCUGGUCCUUGACUUAUGGGUGAAAAUUUUAGUGAAGUUUAUAGAGCCGCUAAAAAAUUUAGUGAAUUAGGGGUCAAUUAUACUAGGGCUAAUCAGUUUUCAGACUGUCUGAGUUAUUGUCGAAUACAUGACUUGGGUUUCUCCGGUAGCAAGUAUACCCGGUCAAAUUUAUGUAAGAAUAAUAGAACUAUCCUAGAGCAUCUUGAUUGAUUUUCUGCGAACUCUGAGUGGUUAGAGUUAUUUCCUGAAUCCUUUUUCAGACACUUCCCACGCACUUACUUUGACUACUACCCUUUGCUACUGACUUUAACUGCUCCUAUUUCAGUUCCUAAAAAAUCUUUCAGACUUGAAACUAUUUGGACGUCUCACCCUAAGUUUAAACAGAUUAUUACUAGCUCCUGGGCUCAUGUGAAUAACUCCCUUGUCCCCGCAAUCUCCUAUUUCUAAGAACAAGUCUUCAAUUGGAAUAGGAAGGUGUUUGGGAAUAUUUUCUAUAAAAAAAGAUGACUUCUUGCGUGUCUAGCUGGAAUUCAAAGAUCCACGAAUUAUAAUACCAAUAUUUUCUUGCAGAAUUUAGAGACCUCUCUUAUCUCUGAGUUCAAUAAUUUGCUUCAUUUUGAGCAUGGAUUUUAGAGGUUGAAGUCUAGGAUUCAUUGGCUCAAUUAGGAGGACAUGAACACAAAAUUCUUCCAUAUUUCCACCCUUAGACGAAGGAGAAAAAAUAAAAUCUUAAUACUUCGGGACUCAGUGGGUAAUUAGAUCUUUGGUAGGUAGGACAUUAAAAGGCAUGUUACUUCCUUUUACAUGAGCCUCUAUACUUCAAAUCUUCUCUACUCUCCCAGGCACUACUCGUGUGCUCUUUCACGAGUAGUCCCCCCCUGAAGAGGCCGAUCUAUAUCUGAGGCCCCUAAUGUAUCAAGAAGUCAUUGAUACAAUCUUUUCUUUUAAGCCAUAUAAGUCCCUUGGACCUAAUGGAAUCCAUCCCCUUUUCUACCAAAAAUACUGGGAUGUCCUAGGUAGUUCCAUUAAGGAUUUUUAUUCUAAUGUUUUCACAACCUGGACAAUCCCAAUGAAAAUCAAUGAAACCUUUAUUUGUCUCAUCCUGAUGAUUUCCAAUCCUCAACUAUUAAUCAGUAUAGACCCAUUAGCCUCUGUAACACAACGUAUAAAAUAAUUUGCAAGAUUAUAGCGAACUAAAUGAAGCCUUUUCUUCACAACCUUAUUGGCCCCUUUCAAUCGAGCUUUCUAACAAAUUAGAGGGCUUCAGACAAUGUAAUUCUAGUCCAAGAGAUCCUUCAUUUUUUCAACACUACCAAAGAUAUAAAAGCUCAUAUGACUGCCAAGAUUGACUUGGAAAAGGCUUUUGAUCAGCUAGAAUGGUAGUUUAUUUAUGACAAUCUUCUCCAUUUUAAUUUUCCUCCUAAAUUUGUGGGCCUUAUCAUGUCUUGUAUCAUGUCUUCGUCAGUCUCUAUCCUCCUUAAUGGAUCUGCUUGUAUUAUUUCUACCCUUCCAGAUGUAUCCGUCAGGGCGACCUUCUCUCUCCUUAUAUCUUUAUUUUAUGCAUGGAGCAUCUUUCCCAAUGCAUUGACAUAACUGUUGACUACGACUUGUGGAGUCUAAUUAAAAUCUGUACCCGUGCCCUGCCUUUGUCCUAUUUGUUCUUUGUCGAUGAUAUCAUUCUUUUCUCAGAGGCGAAUUCCACCUUAUGCAUUAAAAUUUUAGGUAUUUUUGCACACUUUAAUUCUGCAUCAGGUCAAAAGAUUAGCCUUACUAAAUUGAAACUUUUUUUCUUAAAAAACAUAUCAUUCUCUACUAAGGAGAUGGAUAAACCUAUUCUACAUCUUCAGGAAGGUCAUACUUUUGGAAAGUAUUUGGGUUAUCCUAUCUUUUUGCGUCGCCAGACCAAACAAGACUCUCAGUUCCUAUUAGCAAACUUCAAGACUCGACUUGCGAGCUGGAAAACUCCUUUUCUUACCACUACAAAGAGAACAAACCUUAUCCAAUCCACUCUUAAUAGUCUCCCAAAUCAUGUCAUGUACCUCCUUAAGCUUCCUACAUAUGUAAUUAAACCUUAUCCAAUCCACUCUUAAUAGUCUCCCAAAUCAUGUCAUGUACCUCCUUAAGCUUCCUACAUAUGUAAUUAAAAAAAUAGAGGGUUACCUACGAAAAUAUUUUUGGGGGACUAUCUCGGAGCACAAAAUGAUACAUCUUUUAAAUCAGGCCUCUAUUUUAAAGCCUAAAAACCAAGGAGAACUAGGUAUUCAGUAACUUGAAACCAAAAACUUUGCACUUUUGCCAUCUACAGCUUGGAGAGAUUUCUACUCAAAUUCCUUUUGGGCUCGAAUUCUUCACAGCAAAUACUUAGGAAAACGUUUUGGCAUUUCUCAAAUUUGGAAAGCUCACUCUGAGCUGUUCUCAAUGUCAAAUCAGACUCCAAUGACAGCCUAGAAAUGGAGAGCAUAUUAAUUUCUUCACGGACGCUUGGAUAGUGCCAAAUACGUUGCUCCAAAAUUUGAUUCAUGGCCCACUUCCUGAGCAUGAAAUCACAUUCAAAGUGUCUCAAUACGUAAUAGCAAAUAGUUGGUCCUUAUUGCAGCUGUCUUUUGAUCUCCCUACUGAUAUUAUUUCUCUCAUAAACUCUAUUUACUUACCUCGCUAUAGUAUUUCUAGAUCUGACAAAAAUCAAAUGGGGCUUGAAAAAUUCAAAACUUUUUACUGUCAUCUCCGGUUACAACUGCAUCUUCUCCUCAAUCCAUUUUAAUGCGACUAUCGUUGACUUCUCAUGGAUUUGGAAAUUGGACGUUCCACCUAAAAUAAGGCAUUAUAUUUGGCUUAUAAAUCAUAACCAACUCCCAACAACUUCUUACCUUGACCACGUUCAUUGCACUAAUUCACCUUCUUGCACGCUUUGCAACUCGUUGGCUGAAGAAACUGCAUCCCAUCUCUUCACACAUUAUAAAUCGGUUGAUCCCUUAUGGACACAACUCAAUAUCAUAACCCAAAUUCAUCAGCUCAAGGAGGUAAUUCCUGAGUAUCAAUAUCCAAACACGUGGUUCUCUUGGCUAAUUGACCUUGUGUCUCACCAACCUCUCCAACCAAUUAAUCCACAUAUACCUAACAGGGUGCUUCUAACCUACUUUCUAUGGUCUAUAUGGUUGGUGCGUAAUAGAAGUAUUUUUCAAAAUAUUCCUUCUGAAAUCUCUAUUGUACAUGUCUUAGCUUCGUCCACAGAAUACUGGUUUUUAGCGGGCAAGAAGAAAACUAUUAAACGUACUAUGCAUGUCUAUGUUAAAUGGAAGACCUCUGCACCUCCUUUUAUAAUGAUUAAUACAAAUGCGACUUCUAUUUCUAAUUUAGAGAUGUCUAAUAUAGCACGUGUUUUUAGAAAUUCGAAUGGUGAAUGGUUACUAGGUUUUACUAGUAAGGUCUUUACCCCGAACCCCUGAAAGCUGAACUUCAGGCUUUACUUCUGGGUUUGAAUGUUGCAAUUCAAUACUGCUUUACAAUACUGCAAAUCAAUGUGGACUGCCUUCAAAUUGUUCAAGCUGUAUUAAAUAUAUCACCUGAUGAUUCACUCUUAAUAUCUGAUUGCAGGUGCUUGAUGCAUAAACUAGGUAAUUCUCUACUGGAACAUGUGUCCAUAGAACAGAAUAAGUGGACUCAUGUACUUGCAUGGAUGAAUUCAGCUACUUCUAUGCAACUAUUUUGGUAACCUCCUGGAUCCAUAAAGGAUAUUUUGAGUUCUGAUAAAAAUGGAGACUUGAGUUGCUGACGGAUCAGAUAGAUACAUCUGACAAAUUUUUGUUUAAUACUACUAGUCGUAGUUGUCAGGUUGUAAAUACUACUGCUAGGUGUGCUAUUACUACUGCCGGUUCUUGUACAAUUUUCAACAUAAAAUUUUCCUGUAAGACGUUGAAGCAUAUGUAUAUAUAUAAUAUACAUCGUGUUUACCAAAAACAAAACUACUCUGGGCGG
rnacentral:lncRNA from 1 species